rnacentral:rRNA from 1 species
UACGGAGGGUGCAAGCGUUAUCCGGAUUCACUGGGCUUAAAGGGUGCGUAGGUGGGCUUGUAAGUCAGUGGUGAAAUCUCCAGGCUUAACUUGGAAACUGCCAUUGAUACUAUCAGUCUUGAAUACCGUGGAGGUCAGCGGAAUAUGUCAUGUAGCGGUGAAAUGCUUAGAUAUGACAUAGAACACCAAUUGCGAAGGCAGCUGGCUACACGAAUAUUGACACUGAUGCACGAAAGCGUGGGGAUCAAACAGG